AGAUUGAACGCUAGCGGGAUGCUUUACACAUGCAAGUCGAACGGCAGCGCGGACUUCGGUCUGGCGGCGAGUGGCGAACGGGUGAGUAAUAUAUCGGAACGUGCCCAGUAGCGGGGGAUAACUACGCGAAAGCGUGGCUAAUACCGCAUACGCCCUACGGGGAAAGGGGGGAUUCUUCGAGAACCUCUCACUAUUGGAGCGGCCGAUAUCGGAUUAGCUAGUUGGUGAGGUAAAGGCUCACCAAGCCUUCGAUCUGUAGCUGGUCUGAGAGGACGACCAGCCACACUGGGACUGAGACACGGCCCAGACUCCUACGGGAGCAGCAGUGGGGAAUUUUGGACAAUGGGCGAAAGCCUGAUCCAGCCAUGCCGCGUGCAGGACUGAAGGCCUCGGGUUGUAAA
rnacentral:rRNA from 1 species